UACAGAGGGGGCAAGCGUUGUUCGGAAUUACUGGGCGUAAAGGGCGCGUAGGCGGCCUGCUAAGUCGAACGUGAAAUCCCUGGGCUCAACCCAGGAACUGCGUCCGAUACUGGUUGGCUUGAAUCCGGGAGAGGGAUGUGGAAUUCCAGGUGUAGCGGUGAAAUGCGUAGAUAUCGGGAAGAACACCUAUGGCGAAGGCAGCUCUCUGGGACGGUACUGACGCUGAGACGCGAAAGCGUGGGGAGCGAACAGG
rnacentral:rRNA from 1 species